rnacentral:sRNA from 1 species
UUAUCAAAGAUAUUUUCCCCAUAUUUCCCUUGUGUAUAUAUAAAUGUUGCUUCCACUAGGCUGGCAUACAUAUGAUUGAUUAUUAUUAUUCAAUAGUAUUUAUGCCCUUCAACCAAUUUAAUCUUAAUGGUUGAACAAGUGUCAGUGGAUAGCCUUACCUAUAAGAAAAACCCUUUGUGAAAGCUACUAUAGUCUGAGUUUAUGUUAAAAUAAAUGAAAAAAAACUUUCAACAACGGAUCUCUAGGCUCUUGCAUCGAUGAAGAACGCAGUGAAAUGUGAUAAGUAAUGUGAAUUGCAGAAUCUCGUGAAUCAUCGAAUCUUUGAACGCACAUUGCGCCCAGUGGUAUUCCAUUGGGCAUACCUGUUUGAGUGUCAGAGUCUUCACAAUUAUCAAACUUUUAUGCCGCAUGGAUAAAGAUGUUUGGAAUAAGAUUUGAGAAUAGUAUAUCAAUGUUGCUAUACUUUCUUAAAAUUAAGCAAUGAUUUGGUUGUGUUUUCUUCAAACCCAUUUUGUAUAUAAUAUAACAAAUGAGUAUGAGUGGAAAACCAACACAACACCAUUAGAUUGACCUCAAAUCAGGUAGGGAUACCCGCUGAACUUAAGCAUAUCAAUAAGCGGAGGAA